GCUCGCAUAGCUCAGGUGGUAGAGCGCAUCAUUGGUAAUGAUGAGGUCCCCAGUUCGACUCUGGGUGUGAGCACCA
rnacentral:tRNA from 4 species